rnacentral:rRNA from 1 species
CACCAGCCCCUCGAGUGGUGGGGAUGAUUAUUUGGCCUAAAGCGUCCGUAGCCGGCCGGAUAAGUUUCCCGUUAAAUCCAACGUCUCAAGCGUUGGACUGCGGGAAAUACUGUCUGGCUAGAGAGUGGGAGAGGUUAGCGGUAUUCUGGGGGUAGGGGCGAAAUCCUUUGGUCCCCGGAGGACCACCAGUGGCGAAGGCUGCUAACUAGAACACGUCUGACGGUCAGGGACGAAAGCUGGGGUAGCGAACCGGAUUAGAUACCCGGGUAGUCCCAGCCGUAAACGAUGCAUGCUAGGUGUUGGGUUGGCCACGAGCCACCCCAGUGCCGCAGGGAAGCCGUUAAGCAUGCCGCCUGGGAAGUACGAUCGCAAGAUUGAAACUUAAAGGAAUUGGCGGGGAGCACCGCAACGGGAGGAGCGUGCGGUUU